rnacentral:rRNA from 1 species
AUUGAACGCUGGCGGCAUGCCUUAUACAUGCAAGUCGAACGGUAACAGGUCUUCGGAUGCUGACGAGUGGCGAACGGGUGAGUAAUACAUCGGAACGUGCCCGAUCGUGGGGGAUAACGAAGCGAAAGCUUUGCUAAUACCGCACACGAUCUACGGAUGAAAGCAGGGGACCGCAAGGCCUUGAGCGAACGGAGCGGCCGAUGGCAGAUUAGGUAGUUGGUGGGAUAAAAGCUUACCAAGCCGACGAUCUGUAGCUGGUCUGAGAGGACGACCAGCCACACUGGGACUGAGACACGGCCCAGACUCCUACGGGAGGCAGCAGUGGGGAAUUUUGGACAAUGGGCGGAAGCCUGAUCCAGCCAUGCCGCGUGCAGGAUGAAGGCCUUCGGGUUGUAAACUGCUUUUGUACGGAACGAAAAGACUCUGGUUAAUACCUGGGGUCCAUGACGGUACCGUAAGAAUAAGCACCGGCUAACUACGUGCCAGCAGCCGCCGUAA